rnacentral:rRNA from 1 species
CCUACGGGAGGCAGCAGUGAGGAAUAUUGGUCAAUGGCCGGAAGGCUGAACCAGCCAAGCCGCGUGAAGGACGAAGGUGCCAAGCAUUGUAAACUUCUUUUGUCAAGGGACAAAAUCAGGCUCGAGAGCCUGACCGAGGGUACUUGAAGAAAAGCAUCGGGUAACUCCGUGCCAGAAGCCACUGUAAUACGGAGGAUGCGAGCGUUUAUCGGAUUUAUUGGGUUUAAAGGGGGCGUAGGAGGACUGUUAAAUCAGCGGUAAAAGACCGGGGGUCAACCCCGGCGAGCCGUUGAAACUGGCUGUAGUGAGAUGUCGAGAGGUAUGCGGAAUGCGCAGUGUAGCGGUGAAAUGCUUAGAUAUUGCGCAGAACUCCGAUUGCGAAGGCAGCAUACCGGCGGCGAUCUGACGCUGAGGCACGAAAGCGUGGGUAUCGAACAGGAUUAGAUACCCCGGUAGUC